GAUGAAGAACGUAGUGAAAUGCGAUAAGUAAUGUGAAUUGCAGAAUUCAGUGAAUCAUCGAAUCUUUGAACGCACAUUGCGCCCGCCAGUAUUCUGGCGGGCAUGCCUGUUCGAGCGUCAUUUCAACCAUCAAGCCCCGGGCUUGUGUUGGGGACCUGCGGCUGCCGCAGGCCCUGAAAUGCAGUGGCGGGCUCGCUGUCACUCCGAGCGUAGUAGUUACAUCUCGCUCUGGGCGUGCUGCGGGUUCCGGCCGUUAAAAGCCUUAUUUACCCAAGGUUGACCUCGGAUCAGGUAGGAAGACCCGCUGAACUUAAGCAUAUCAAUAGCGGAGGA
rnacentral:misc_RNA from 1 species